rnacentral:rRNA from 1 species
GUCCUAGCCGUAAACGAUGGACACUGGGUGUCGGCCCCGUUAGGGGUCGGUGCCGCAGCCAACGCGCUAAGUGUCCCACCUGAGGAGUACGGCCGCAAGGUUGAAACUCAAAGGAAUUGACGGGGGCCAGCACAAGCGGUGGAACAUGUGGUUCAAUUCGAUGCUACGCGAAGAACCUUACCCAGGCUUGACAUGCUUGAAGUAGGAACCUGAAAGGGUGACGACUCGUAACCAGUCGAGAACUUGCACAGGUGCUGCAUGGCUGUCGU